GAUGAACGCUGACAGAAUGCUUAACACAUGCAGGUCAACUUGAACUUCGGUUUGGGUGGCGGACGGGUGAGUAACGCGUAAAGAACUUGCCUCACAGUUAGGGACAACAUUUGGAAACGAAUGCUAAUACCUGAUAUUAUGAUUUUAGGGCAUCCUAGAAUUAUGAAAGCUAUAUGCGCUGUGAGAGAGCUUUGCGUCCCAUUAGCUAGUUGGAGAGGUAACGGCUCACCAAGGCGAUGAUGGGUAGCCGGCCUGAGAGGGUGAACGGCCACAAGGGGACUGAGACACGGCCCUUACUCCUACGGGAGGCAGCAGUGGGGAAUAUUGGACAAUGGACCAAGAGUCUGAUCCAGCAAUUCUGUGUGCACGAUGAAGUUUUUCGGAAUGUAAAGUGCUUUCAGUUGGGAAGAAAAAAAUGACGAUACCAACAGAAGAAGUGACGGCUAAAUACGUG
rnacentral:rRNA from 1 species